AUAUUUGUGAAUACGAUAUUGUCAAUGAUUGAUGAAAGGUUAUAUGUAUAUAUGAUGUUUUAAGAUGUUAAUUACCAUUUGAUGUUGUUAUAUCUUGAGAUUGUUUGUGUACUGCCAUGCUGCUGUUUAUUAUUGAUUAAGAUGCAUCUGUUGGUUAAUGUUGUGGGAAAUGUUGGUUAAUAUUUGAUUAAAGUUAGGUUUUGUUAAUUAAUGGGUUUUGAGUGUAGGAAUUGUUGAAUUGGAGUUAGAAAUGGG
rnacentral:lncRNA from 1 species